rnacentral:rRNA from 1 species
GAUGAACGCUGACGGCGUGCCUAAUACAUGCAAGUCGAGCGAACAGACGAGGAGCUUGCUCCUCUGACGUUAGCGGCGGACGGGUGAGUAACACGUGGAUAACCUACCUAUAAGACUGGGACAACUUCGGGAAACCGGAGCUAAUACCGGAUAAUAUAUUGAACCGCAUGGUUCAAUAGUGAAAGACGGUUUUGCUGUCACUUAUAGAUGGAUCCGCGCCGCAUUAGCUAGUUGGUAAGGUAACGGCUUACCAAGGCAACGAUGCGUAGCCGACCUGAGAGGGUGAUCGGCCACACUGGAACUGAGACACGGUCCAGACUCCUACGGGAGGCAGCAGUAGGGAAUCUUCCGCAAUGGGCGAAAGCCUGACGGAGCAACGCCGCGUGAGUGAUGAAGGUCUUCGGAUCGUAAAACUCUGUUAUUAGGGAAGAACAAAUGUGUAAGUAACUAUGCACGUCUUGACGGUACCUAAUCAGAAAGCCACGGCUAACUACGUG